ensembl:lncRNA
AUGGGCUGAACGCAUAAGCAGAAGGACAGUGCUCUGGGGUCAUGUGGAAUCGAGGUGGAGGAGGGAACACUUACAGUUUGUUGAGAUCAUGAGGAUGUCAACUGAAAAAGCAUCAGAAGCCAAACAACCUUGCCCGGUCCAUACGCAGGCCUGUCAGUUAAAACCAUAAAGUUGUUGGAAUAGGAUUGUGAUUGCUCCCAGCCUGGCUCCAUGUGGCCUCCAAGGUUUGGAAAGGCAGGGCUUGGUCCUUCUGCAACAUGUCCUCAGUCUGGUUUCCCAGGGGAAUGCAGCUUAUGCGAUCUCGCUGUCUCAGCCCAUCCAUCCAUCAUGUGCUGCCUACAGCCUGGUCUGGCAGAAAGAUAUCAUUUGGUGCCUGAGCAACACAAAUGCCAGAUCACUUCAAGACAUUUCCUUGCUUACCAGUUUUCCUCCAGGUGCUCAUCUUCCCUUCAGCUCCAUAUCAUAUCACAGCCCAGUGCUCUAGACAUCCCUAGGCCUUAGAACUAACAGCACUAGAGUGCUGCUUCCUACAACAUUAUAUGCGCACGGAAACUUAACAACCAAUGUGCAAAAUUUGCAGCUGAUUAGCCCAGUCCAAUCAGCACUAAUAGGAACAAGGAGGCCCUGGUCAGGUUCUGAUGAAAAACACAUGGUUGCAGUGAAAAGGCAUGGUUCCUACUCCUUGUCAUCUUCAUUCUUGACACCUGUGGUACUGGAGGCAGUCUCUAUGGGGCACAGCCAACUAGGACCUCAUCACUGCUUUUUGUGGUUGGGUUCUGUGGCAAGCUUUCCCUGUUCUUUUUGUUUCUUCUGUAUUUUUUGUUGUUUGUUUGUUUUUUAAACAAAAGUCCCCAAACUGAAUUUUCAUCUUUACAGUCAACGUACUCCACCAGAUGCUAAUACUAUUAAUAAUAACUGUGUAUGUGGACAUGCCUCAGCACCUUUUGUGCAUCGGUGUCUCCCAGGGUGCUAUCUUUCCUAGCAAACAUUAGUGAAUGCCAAGAGAAGAGUAUAACAAGAGAAACCUGGAGCAAUAUUUCUCCAGAAUACCUUCCUAGGCACAAUAAUUUGUGGUUUGUGAAUUUCCCUGCACCAAAUAUUCUCAAGUGGCAUGUUUGCAAGUUGGAUUUUUCUGCCACAGACUCUUCCCAUUGCUUUUUAGGACCCAUUCAGCCCUGCAGUACAUCUUAUGCAAACUUUUGGUGCAUCAGUUUUGCACAGAAUUCAUUUCCAUGUGUAUUGUGACCAAGAUUCCCUUUUAAUUUGUUUGAAUCUGCAACUUUUCAUGUUCUCCUAAUGCUCCUUGUUCUUAUAUUGUAAGAGACCAUAAAACACAGCUUACAGCCUUCUCCAUGCACUUCUUGACCUACAAGAAGAGCACAGCUUGUGCAUGGAGAGACGUAGUUCUGCUCCAGUACCCCCCCAAAAAGCAUGUUCAUGAAGGGAAAUUCAAUAGACAGAAGAAAGUUCAGCAUUUUAGGCUACGAUUAGAAAUGUGCAGUUUACGCCAGCACAAUUGCAGGACCACACGAAGCUUCAUGCUGAACAUUGCACCACUAUGCACGGGACAGAGUAUAGAUGUACAUGGACACUCAUGUGAAUGCAUGUAGUAGGAUUUAAAUACUCAUCAGCUCUCUUCCCAUCUUAUAGAGAAACCUGGUUUUGCAGUCCUUUCAGAUGCUUUCAUUUUCCAAGAAUAAAGAACAAGGCCUCAGAAGUCGGAUUUGGCAAGCAAGGACCUCCAUAACCUGCCUAUAGCUCAGAGCACCAAUCAGCUGAAAAUUCAGACAGUAACUGGUAUAAUAUGUAGAACACUGGUGUGAGCAUCUGCACAUGUAGGUUCUUGACAUGUGUCUUCAAAGGAGACGGUGUGCAUGGAAGUGUGUAAUUUUGACAAGGAAACCUUGCAUACGUGGGAAAGGAAGAUUGUGUAUUUCAGAAGACUGUCAUUUGCACACAGCACCAAGUUGGAAGCAUUUAAUAUUCUCACUUGCAGCCAUAUAAAAAGCUAAACAAGCCAAACACUCCAAGAGAGACAGCGCUUCCCUUAAAAAAAAGAAAAAAGAAAGAAAGAAAGACUUAAAAAAGUUUAAUUAUAAAUAGAUUGUAAAAUGUAAUUUUUGUCAUGGCAUAGUGGCUGAGCAAUAAAAGGUGAUAAAGUUACACUAUAACAUCUCAUAAUUGCAUCUCAAAUGCUCUAAGUACAAAACUUGUACAACAGAUGAGUUAAAAUGCAAGUUUUGCUUCCAAUUUGGCUUUUGUUGGUUUAAGCCUCCCGUGUAGCAACCCUUAAAUCUAUAUUUUCUAGUUUAAUUAACUAAAGAAAUAAUAUAGCACCUUCUACAUCUCAGCAUGGAAAUGAGUUUUGCAAACUGCUGUUAUUAGUACUUUUGCUAAGUUUGUAC